ACUAAAAGAUCUGAAGGCCUAAACAAAGAAAUUAGAGCCCCUCUCAUCAGCUGCUCAAAAUCCCUCUCUGCUCAAAAUCUCUCUCUACUCAAAAUCCCCCUCUGCUCAAAAUCCUAAAAUCAGAAAAUGUGAAUCUUAUAUAAGAUAACUCCAUUUCUCAACUCCUAAUUAAAGGAAGUGUUGGCUGCUCCGUUUCUCUGCAUCUAAUCACUGACCCAAAAGCUCAAAUCAUGAAUUCGUACAGAUUGUGUCAUCUAAGUGUUGUUAUUUUCUGAUUCUAAGUCUUGACCGAACUCUCAGCUAUAUAUUUUCCUGGUCCGAGAAAGCUUUGAGACGAGAAAUUGGAUUCUCUCAUGCUACUUUUAAGCUCCACUUUUACUCUAUUCAAGAUGUCUACGUGCAACUCGUUACUUGUAUUCCUUAACUUUAAAGGUUCAACAUGGAGUCUCCUCCAUGAUCCCACUCAUGCUCUGUGAUCAGGAUAGGAAUAGAAGCACUGAUAAAUGUGGAUGUUGGUAUCUGAUGUCAAGAACUACCGCAGGUACAAGUCACUUAAACAGUGAUAUCGUUCAAGGAUGGUGUCGGGCAAGGAGCAGUUACAAGACACUUAAUAUUUUAUCGUUUUUGGGAUAUGUAUAUGCGUACAAUUACAAUGCACAAUAAAGUGUCGGGUAGUAUAUAUGUAAUUAACUUUUUAGUAAUGAUAAUAUUUAUCAGCUUGAGAAAUUA